CAAUAAAACCAGACCAAGAAUGCUUGAUUACAAACGAUGAACUCAUUUCAUUUGCAAGUUAUGCCAUGACAUAAAUGCAUUAAAUUAGGAAGAUUUGUAUUAGAUGAAUAUUAACUUCUGUUGAUAAGAACAUUUGAUUGGUGGAAUCCAGAUUCUGUGAAUGUACAUUUAAUUGAUUGACAAGUACACAUUUGACAAGGUGGUGAGAAACGUGUAGAUCUGGCCUGCUUACAGUGGCUAUUGGAUUGGACAGAACCAAAGUGAGAGUGAACGUGUGAAUUUAUGGAGAACAUUAAAAACUAUUUUACUAUAAGUCAUAACGCAACUUAUUUUGUAUGAGUUACAUACAAAUGUCAAGCCGUGAGUACAUUAUGUAAAAACUAAAACAAUGUACCUACUGUAAUCACAACAGUAACUGUAAUCUUUUAAAAUCCAAUAGUUUUAAUGCUUAUUGAUUUUCGUAAACAAAAUAUUUCAUGUUAUACCUAUUUCAUCAAUAAAGUUUCAUUUGAUACUUCAAUAGUUUUAUUUUUAACCGCAAUACAUGAAAAGGAACGGAUCAUAAAAAAGUAUGACAGGUAUAUUUAAUCUGUGGGCGGCAGACGCCAUAUUGUAUUCAGCGCCACCUACUGGACAAUCUAGCUCGGUACCAGUUUGUUUAUCGUUUAACCAAUACUAGGGCCGUUUCCUAUCUGU